AAGAGUUAGGGUCUUCUAGGCCCGACCUCCCAACCCUGUGUUUAACAAACUAUUUGUUGCUUCGGCGAGCCCGUCUUUAUUGACCGCCGGAGGACCGUCGAGAGACGCCCUCUGGCCAGUGCCCGCCGAUGGCCAACUAUACCUAAACUCUGAAUAAACAUGUCUAUGUCUAAGUAAUUUAUUAAAUAAAAUA
rnacentral:misc_RNA from 1 species